rnacentral:rRNA from 1 species
AUUGAACGCUGGCGGCAUGCCUUACACAUGCAAGUCGAGCGCGAAAGGGGGGCAACCCCCGAGUAGAGCGGCGGACGGGUGAGUAAUACAUCGGAACGUACCCAGUAGUGGGGGACAACCUCGAGAAAUCGAGGCUAAUACCGCAUACGACCCACGGGUGAAAGCGGGGGACCGCAAGGCCUCGCGCUAUUGGAGCGGCCGAUGUCCGAUUAGCUAGUUGGCGGGGUAAGAGCCCACCAAGGCGACGAUCGGUAGCUGGUCUGAGAGGACGACCAGCCACACUGGGACUGAGACACGGCCCAGACUCCUACGGGAGGCAGCAGUGGGGAAUUUUGGACAAUGGGGGCAACCCUGAUCCAGCCAUGCCGCGUGCGGGAAGAAGGCCUUCGGGUUGUAAACCGCUUUCGGCCGGAACGAAGUCGCCCGGGUGAACAUCCCGGGUGGAUGACGGUACCGGAAGAAGAAGCACCGGCUAACUACGUGCCAGCCGCCGCGGUAAAAC